rnacentral:misc_RNA from 1 species
GUGAUACGACAUUUCCGUUUAUUUAUACAUGCCUUCUCAACCACAGAAAUGGAGUUGAGGUAAUUGCAUGUUCCUGGAUGCCAGGAUCCACAUGUUCCACUUGGAUUUCCAAAGCUUGCAAAUCUGAUUGAGGAAAUAAGAGUACUCUUUGGGCAUUCUAAAUGCAGAGUUGGUUUAGCUUUAGCAUUGAUGCUCUUUCCCCAAGA